rnacentral:rRNA from 1 species
UACGUAGGGGGCGAGCGUUGUCCGGAUUCAUUGGGCGUAAAGAGCUCGUAGGCGGCUUGGCAAGUCGGAUGUGAAAACUCCAGGCUCAACCUGGAGCCGCCAUUCGAUACUGCUAUGGCUAGAGUCCGGUAGGGGAGUGUGGAAUUCCCGGUGUAGCGGUGAAAUGCGCAGAUAUCGGGAGGAACACCGAUGGCGAAGGCAGCACUCUGGGCCGGCACUGACGCUGAGGAGCGAAAGCGUGGGGAGCAACAGGG